rnacentral:rRNA from 1 species
UACGAAGGGGGUUAGCGUUGCUCGGAAUUACUGGGCGUAAAGCGCACGUAGGCGGCUUUCUAAGUCGGGGGUGAAAUCCUGGAGCUCAACUCCAGAACUGCCUUCGAUACUGGAAAGCUCGAGUCCGGGAGAGGUGAGUGGAACUGCGAGUGUAGAGGUGAAAUUCGUAGAUAUUCGCAAGAACACCAGUGGCGAAGGCGGCUCACUGGCCCGGUACUGACGCUGAGGUGCGAAAGCGUGGGGGGCAAACAGG